GACGAACGCUGGCGGCGUGCUUAACACAUGCAAGUCGAACGGAAAGGCCCUGCUUUUGUGGGGUGCUCGAGUGGCGAACGGGUGAGUAACACGUGAGUAACCUGCCCUUGACUUUGGGAUAACUUCAGGAAACUGGGGCUAAUACCGGAUAGGAGCUCCUGCUGCAUGGUGGGGGUUGGAAAGUUUCGGCGGUUGGGGAUGGACUCGCGGCUUAUCAGCUUGUUGGUGGGGUAGUGGCUUACCAAGGCUUUGACGGGUAGCCGGCCUGAGAGGGUGACCGGCCACAUUGGGACUGAGAGACGGCCCAGACUCCUACGGGAGGCAGCAGUGGGGAAUAUUGCACAAUGGGCGGAAGCCUGAUGCAGCAACGCCGCGUGCGGGAUGACGGCCUUCGGGUUGUAAACCGCCUUCGCCUGUGACGAAGCGUGAGUGACGGUAAUGGGUAAAGAAGCACCGGCUAACUACGUG
rnacentral:rRNA from 1 species